CACAGCACACUCGAAACUCUGAAAGCCAGCGGGAAGCCAUGGGAGCGCUCACUGCUUAGAAAGCAGGCUCGGCUUUUAUUUGACGGCGCUUGCCAGCCCUUUGGCAGAGGAGGAAGAGGAUGAAUCACCCCUCGCCUGCCCCGGGAAGCUGUUCCCAACUGCUCCCCAUGUGCAUAGGCAAAGCCUUGGAACCAUUUGGGAGUGAAACCGGAUCGUUGGGGUGACCUCACGCUGUGGAGGCUUCUUUCUUUUUCCCAGAAAACGGUUCCCACAGACUUCAAACUCACCUGCUCCAACUACUCGCCACCUCCCCCGGCUGAAACGUGACCUGAAGUUUCCAAGUAUCGUUACCUUGGGCGUAUUUAAUUAUUUUAUUCCCCUUUAGUUGCUAAUUAGAAGCCAAGAGUAGAGGGGAUGAGUAAUCCCCUGGGAUGUUGAGCAGACACUUGCCUGAGCUUGCAAAGAAAACACCAACCCCCUCGGUAUAAAGGCGUGAAAUAAAAGGAUGUGAUAUUUUC